rnacentral:rRNA from 1 species
CCUACGGGAGGCAGCAGUGAGGAAUAUUGGUCAAUGGGCGCGAGCCUGAACCAGCCAAGUAGCGUGAAGGAUGACUGCCCUACGGGUUUUAAACUUCUUUUAUAAAGGAAUAAAGUGAGGCACGUGUGCCUUUUUGUAUGUACUUUAUGAAUAAGGAUCGGCUAACUCCGUGCCAGCAGCUGCGGUAAUACGGAGGAUCCGAGCGUUAUCCGGAUUUAUUGGGUUUAAAGGGGGCGUAGAUGGGUUGUUCAGUCAGUUGGGAAAGUGUGAUGCUCAACCGUAAAAUUGCAAUUGAUACUGGCAGUCUUGAGUACAGUUGAGGUAGGCGGAAUUCGUGGUGUAGCGGUGAAAUGCUUAGAUAUCACGAAGAACUCCGAUUGCGAAGGCAGCUUACUAAACUGCCACUGACAUUGAUGCUCGAAAGUGUGGGUAUCAAACAGGAUUAGAUACCCGAGUAGUC